UACAGAGGGGGCAAGCGUUAUUCGGAAUUAUUGGGCGUAAAGGGCGCGUAGGCGGCCUUGCAAGUGGCGGGGGAAAUCCCUCGGCUUAACCGGGGAACUGCGUCUGAUACUGGAUGGCUUGAGUUUGGGAGAGGGAUGCGGAAUUCCAGGUGUAGCGGUGAAAUGCGUAGAUAUCUGGAGGAACACCGGUGGCGAAGGCGGCAUCCUGGACCAACACUGACGCUGAGGAGCGAAAGCCAGGGGAGCAAACGGG
rnacentral:rRNA from 1 species